rnacentral:lncRNA from 1 species
AUGAGUUUGUUGAUGUAUUCUAAGGUUUCUACUUUGACUGAAGCUCUUUCCACAUUCAAUACAUUUAAAGGGUUUCUCCCCUGUGUGUGUUCGUUGAUGUAUUCUAAGGGCUCCACUUUGACUGAAUCUCUUUCCACAGUCAAUGCAUUCAAACGGUUUCACCCCUGUGUGAGUUCGUUGAUGUAUUCUAAGGGGACCACUACUACUAAAGCUCUUUCCACAUUCAAUACAUUUAAAGGGUUUCUCCCCUGUGUGUGUUCGUUGAUGUAUUCUAAGGUUUCGACUUUGACUGAAGCUCUUUCCACAUUCAAAACAUUCAAACGGUUUCACCCCUGUGUGAGUUCGUUGAUGUAUUCUAAGGUCUCCACUACAACUGAAGCUCUUUCCACAUUCAAUACAUUUAAACGGUUUCUCCCCUGUGUGAGUUCGUUGAUGGAUUCUAAGGUCUCCACUACGACUGAAACUCUUUCCACAUUCCAUACAUUCAAAUGGUUUCUCCCCUGUGUGAGUUCGUUGAUGUCUUCUGAGGGAUCCAUUCUGACUGAAGCUCUUUCCACAUUCAAUACAAUUAAAUGGUUUCUCCCCCGUGUGAGUUUGUUGAUGUUUUCUAAGGUUUCCACUUUGACUGAAGCUCUUUCCACACUCCAUACAUUCAAACGGUUUCUCCCCUGUGUGAGUUCGUUGAUGUGUUCUAAGGGCUCCACUACAACUGAAGCUCUUUCCACAUUCAAUGCAAUUAAAUGGUUUCUCCCCCGUGUGAGUUCGUUGAUGUGUUCUAAGGGUUCCACUUUCACUGAAGCUCUUUCCACAUUCAAAACAUUCAAAUGGUUUCACCCCUGUGUGAGUUCGUUGAUGUAUUCUAAGGUCUCCACUACGACUGAAGUUCUUUCCACAUUCAAUGCAUUCAAAUGGUUUCUCCCCUGUGUGAGUUCGUUGAUGUGUUCUAAGGUGUCCACUACAACUGAAGCUCUUUCCACACUCCCUACAUUUAAACAAUUUCCCCCCUAUGUGAGUUUCUUGAUGUCUUCUAAGGGAACCACUAUGACUGAAGCUCUUUCCACAUUCAAUGCAUUUAAAUGGUUUCUCCCCUGUGUGAGUUAG